rnacentral:rRNA from 1 species
AGAGUUUGAUCCUGGUUCUAAGUGUACGCUGGCGGCGUGCUUAACACAUGCAAGUCGAACGAGAACGGGUUUAGUUUACUAAACUGUCAGCUAAGUGGCGCACGGGUGAGUAAUAUAUAGUUAAUCUGCCCCAAAGAAGAGAAUAAUUGUUGGAAACGACUUGUAAUGCUCUAUAUGCCUUUAUCACAUAAGUGAGCAAGGGAAAUAUUUAUAGCUUUGGGAUGAGACUGUAUGGUAUCAGUUAGUUGGUGAGGUAAUGGCUCACCAAGACAAUGACGCCUAACUGGUUUGAGAGGAUGAUCAGUCACACUGGAACUGAGACACGGUCCAGACUCCUACGGGAGGCAGCAGUGGGGAAUAUUGCACAAUGGAGGAAACUCUGAUGCAGCAACGCCGCGUGGAGGAUGACACAUUUCGGUGCGUAAACUCCUUUUAUAUGAGAAGAUAAUGACGGUAUCAUAUGAAUAAGCACCGGCUAACUUCGUGCCAGCAGCCGCGGUAAUACGAGGGGUGCAAGCGUUACUCGGAAUCACUGGGCGUAAAGAGCAUGUAGGCUGGUAAUUAAGUUGGAAGUGAAAUCCUAUGGCUCAA